GUCGACUACCUCGGUCAGAGGCUGAAAACUCCCGUGAGCUCCCUCCUCUCUGCAGUCUGGGAACAAACUUCACCUCAAACAGUGGCCCUGCAUUAUAUGCAAGUGAUGGGAAGUAAAAAGCCUGCUUUGAUUUUGGACAUGUCAUGAUGAAGCAAAGGUUGAGCAGAAAUGGCUUUCAACACCCAACUCUUCUUCCGGUGUGGUUUCUUUUCUGUCUUUGAGGGGCUUCAGAGCUCUGGGCCUUCAAAAGAGAAGUGAAACACGAACCAGAGAUAAAAUACUUCAAAUUACACGAGUGUUACCAGGAAGAAAGCUCAGAAUGGAAGAAUAAAAUCUAGUGGUGCCCUGAGUUAGAUAAAAGAUUGUGAAUUCAGAGUUCAGGAAACACCAUUAUUGUUCCAGAAAACAUACAGAACCUGUGGCAACCCUGGGCCUGGACACACCUGCCAGCACGUACUUCAAAGACUGUGUGGAAAGAGGAGCUACAAACAUCCCACUCUGCUGUUUGUUAGACACACUCCAAUUUCUCUGGGUGGGGAAUG